rnacentral:tRNA from 1 species
AUUCUUUUAGUAUUAUUAGUACAAAUGACUUCCAAUCAUUAAGUUCUAGAAUUAACCUAGAAAAGAAUA